CUCAGAAGUUUCAUAGAGUGAGCAAAAGAAUACCCUGAAGAGGAAGGAAACUUUUUAAAAGGUGGACUCACUCUACUUGUGGUGGGGCGUACUCACUGGCAUUGACCUCCACCCUCCCAUUCCCUAUCCUUUGGGCCUCUUGUCGCUUUCCUGUCUGGCUCACUCAGUUGGCUCAGUUGCCCCUCUAUGACUCCCCCCA
rnacentral:lncRNA from 1 species